rnacentral:rRNA from 1 species
AGCUCCAAUAGCGUAUAUUAAAGUUGUUGCAGUUAAAAAGCUCGUAGUUGGAUUUCUGGCGUUCGCGGUCGGUCCGCCUUCGGGUGUGCACUGCAUUGCGGUCGCCAUCUUCUAUGCGAGUGCGUGUGGCAUUAGGUUGUCGGGCGCAUUAGCAUGGUCGUUUACUGUGAAAAAUUAGAGUGUUUAAAGCAGGCUCUGCUUGAAUACAUUAGCAUGGAAUAAUAAGAUAAGACUAAGGUCUUACUUGUUGGUUCAGAGAUCUUAGUAAUGAUUAAUAGGGAUAGUUGGGGGUAUUCGUAUUCAAUUGUCAGAGGUGAAAUUCUUGGAUUUAUGGAAGACGAACUUCUGCGAAAGCAUUUACCAAGGAUGUUUUCA